rnacentral:rRNA from 1 species
UACGUAGGGUGCAAGCGUUGUCCGGAAUUAUUGGGCGUAAAGGGCUCGUAGGCGGUUUGUCACGUCGGGAGUGAAAACUCAGGGCUUAACUCUGAGCCUGCUUCCGAUACGGGCAGACUAGAGGUAUGCAGGGGAGAAUGGAAUUCCUGGUGUAGCGGUGAAAUGCGCAGAUAUCAGGAGGAACACCGGUGGCGAAGGCGGUUCUCUGGGCAUUACCUGACGCUGAGGAGCGAAAGUGUGGGGAGCGAACAGG